rnacentral:tRNA from 4 species
GGGCCCGUAGCUCAGCCAGGUAGAGCGGCGGGCUCUUAACCCGUAGGUCCCGGGUUCAAAUCCCGGCGGGCCCGCCA